UACGUAGGGUGCAAGCGUUAAUCGGAAUUACUGGGCGUAAAGCGUGCGCAGGCGGUUUUGUAAGACGGAUGUGAAAGCCCCGGGCUCAACCUGGGAACUGCGUUUGGUACUGGCAAGCUAGAGUACGGCAGAGGGGGGUGGAAUUCCACGUGUAGCAGUGAAAUGCGUAGAGAUGUGGAGGAACACCGAUGGCGAAGGCAGCCCCCUGGGCCGAUACUGACGCUCAGGCACGAAAGCGUGGGGAGCAAACAGG
rnacentral:rRNA from 1 species